GAAACGCAAUAUUCUAUUCUCCCGAAAUGAUAUGGACCGGUAGCAGUGGGAUAUGUACUUUAGCUCAUAUGGCGAAAGAUAAACUGCUAGCCUAACUUUUUCAGAAAAGUGAUAUUUUUUAAAGCCCUUUUUAGGCGGAUAUUAUUCUUUUAUCCACAUUUUUACGUUUCUAAUUUAAAAAUAAAUAAUUGGACAUUCAUUUUACACACGUCUUAAAUUGGUCGUAAUAAACAUUUCUUCCAAAAGGCACCGUCGCCUGUUAGCACGCCGCCAUUUGUCGUGUUGUCGGUGUGUGGGUGAGGCCGGAAAUUAGCGCCGAAUUAUUGCUCAUCAAAGCACCACCUCCUCGCUGUAGCAGUGGGCGUCACCACAGUAUUGUUCAGGAAGCUCGUGAUAAUGGUACCUAUGGUUCUACGUUGAGGAACGCUCAAUCAAAAAAUGAUAUGAUGAACUUCUUUGGAAUUAAGCGGACUAAGUACAGCUACAUUUGUAUUAUGUGCAUCGCUCAUGCAAGAUAGCAGGCCAGGAUGCAGGGACACACAGUUGCAGGGGAUGAGCUGGAGAACCUGCAGCGCAUUCUCCAAGAGACGACGGAAGCCAACGGAGGCCCGCAAAACUUUCCAUCCCAUAAUCGUGAAUGGAGAGCUGGGCGGGGAAGACGCGGUAUUCGUCGAGGUCCAGGAGGUGGUAUCGGCGCCACCAGACCAAGCAUUCCUGCUGUGGCAGGCCGCCUUUUGGAUUUUUAACAUCAAAACUCCUAAAAACAUGGUCAAUCUGAAUUGGUUUCUGAGAACCAAAGUGUUUGGUGGGGUGAAGGCCGAUGUGCCGCCAUCAGCGGCGGCUAUUGCGACCGUGAAGCAAGUGGAGUGAGAUCCCCGUAGAGCAUGCCGCUGCGGGGUGUCGGAAGCGUUUGCCAAUUCUUUGAGCCUUCCACCGGCAGGACUAUAAAUACACAUUUCUUGAAAUAUA
rnacentral:lncRNA from 1 species